rnacentral:lncRNA from 1 species
CAACAAAGAUAUCUCCUUUUCCACUUGAUGUGAUGUGCCUGCUAUCUGCAAACUUUAUCACUUUCUCAACCGAUUCAUCUUAGUGAACCAGUUUUUAUUACCAUUCAUAUGGUUACUGCAUCCUGAAUCUAUGUAUCACAUGUUAGUUUGCUCAGUGUUCGACUGAGUGUUGGCUAUGAGUAACACAUCCUCAUAAUCAUUAUCUUCAACCUGUGCAUAAUGCACUUCACCAUUAUCUUUCGCUUAUACUUCCUUCUUUCUUCGUUAGUCUCGAGCAUAAUGGUCAAAUCCUUGACAGUUGUAACAUUGCAUCUCCUUCACGUCAACUUUCUUCCUAAAAUACUUGUUGCCCAUGCCAUUCUUGAUUGAAUCAGAGUGAUUCUUCAAGUUCUUGCUUGACUUCUCAUCAUUAGCAAGAUUAUUUCCCUGAUACGCCUUCUCUUUCCCAAAUUUCUUGAUGAAUCUUGCUAGUAGUGCUUAUUCAACCACCUUCUUCCUUUUUUUAGUUCCUCUGCUUCAACCUCAUCUCAUGAGCCUCUAACGAAGCUUGAAGUUCUUCUAACUUCAUCUUAGCUAGACUCUUGGACUCUACAAUUGACACUAUCAUGUAAUCCAAAUUUGCUGCCAGAGAUCUCAACACUUUCUCAAUCUUUUGCAAAUCGUUUAUUGAUUCACCACACAUCUUCAUAUGGUUCGUUAACAACACCAUAUGUGAAAAGUAUUUUGAGACUGAUUCAUCUGAGUCAUCUCAAAUUGCUUUCUCAAUGUCUGUAACUUCGCCUUUUCAUCUUUUCAUCUCUUCCGUACAAGUUCUUCAACUUGUCUCACGCUCCUUUUGUUAUUUUUUCUUCAAUGAUUUUCUCAAACACGUUAGGAUCCACACACUGGUGAAUUAAGAACAAACCUUUUCCAUCUUUCUUUCUUCGUUCCUUGUGCGCAGCUUACUGAACAUUAUUCUCAUUCUCUUCCAAUGCAGGUACUUCAUCGUUCAUGAUUUCAGCCACAUCUUGAAAUCUGAAGAUGACAUUCAUCUACGCAAUCCGUCGUUUGUAGUUCUCACAUUGGAAAGUUGGUAGAUUUGCUGAAAAUUAUGUUGAUGUUAUGUUUCCAUUUGCCAUUAUAGAUUCUCACUGAAUCGCAACCUGAACUCCUUGAUACCAAUUUGUUUGAACAAACGAGUUUUCAAGAAAGAUGGGAGAAGAAGAAGAAUAGAGAAAAGAUAGAAACUAAAUUCUAAAGAGAAAUAUUAUUGAUUGAAGUUGUUAGGAUUUAUAUCAUACAAUGACUUUAUAUAAACAACUAAAACCCAUGCCCAAAACUAUACAAAUCAAUGCAAGCCCAAAAUAUAUAAGUUAUAUCUUGGCUUCGACACAAUAACUUAAAUGUUGUAUUCAAUUUUUCAAAUAUAGUUGUCUUCUACACCUUCGACUAACUACCUCGACAUAAUCGAAUGCUAGCUUUCGACAGAAUAUCGAAUUAUAACUUUUAACAAUAUCUUAUUAAUUGUCAUCUCUAGUUUUCUUUAAGAUUAGUAUCUUGAUUCCGAUAUUUAAAAGUCCACACACAUUGAUUUAUUGAUGGAUAUUGAUCAUUUGUUUGAGAGCGGCAUGUUCACAUUGCAUAUUCACCAAAUUACUUUUUAUUAAUCUUCAAGGUUAAACUAGCAAGAUACUUGUGCGUCCGCACGAGUAAAUUUAUUUAAUACGGUAUAAAAUAUAAUUAGAUACACGUAUAAAUUUGAAAUAAAAAAAAAUUGGAAAAAAAAAUCCACAUUUGAAAAUAAAACAUUCAUCUCUCAGUUAAAGACAAUUGUUGGUUAAAAUAAAAUAGAUAUUGUCCUAAUAGUGACCCUUGAAAUGGAACAUUAAUGAUGUGCAUCAUUAUUGAAUGAUAUUCAAUUUGAUAGAAUAUAAAAAAAAAAUUAGAUAUACGUGUCAAUUUAUAAUGGUACUUAAUUGUAAAAUGAACAAUGAUCAUAUAAACUCAAUUGUAUUGAAUAAUCAUAUAAAAAAAGAGACACGUGAUAUGAAGAAAGAAAGAAAUUCACAUUUAAAAAUAUAUAAUUUGUCUCUCAAAUAAAGAUAACGGUUGAUUAAAAUAAAAUAGAUAUUGUCCUGAUAGUGACAUGAUAGUGACAUGUGAAAUAAAAAAUUUGUUGUAGCAUUGUUAAUAAGUGUUAUCCAAUUUGAUGUAGUAUAAAAUGUAUUUAGAUACUUAUGUCACUUUGAAAUGAGUUAUUUAAUUAUAAAACAAACAAUAAUAAUAUAAAUUAUAAAUAUUUUUUUAUAUAUAAUAAUUAUAUUUUUAUUUUAGAUAAAUUUUAUGUUUUAAAAAUUCAAUAUUUUUCUUUGUCCUUUAUUAAAUUAAAAAGAGAUUCAAAUUUUGUUAUUUAUAUUUUAAGAAAUAAAAUAGAAAAAAGAAAAUGGAGAGAGAAAAAAUUAAAAUGAAAGUGAGAAUGUGUGAGAAAAUUUUGAAAUUUAAAUUAAUAAAAAAAUAUAAAAAGAAAGUCAAGUGAAAAUUGAAUGAGGUGAGAAAAGGAGUUAGUUUCAAUUUUUUUAACAUUUCUUAAUUAUAAAUAUGUUAUUUUACUAAUAUAAUUUUUUCAUAAAAAAAAUACAUUAAAAAAUUUGAUAGUAAUUUAUUUUAAUUAAUAGAUAAUUGAUUGAGAUUGAACAAACACAAUUAUUAAAUGUGUGAUGCAUUUUGGAAAUACAAUCUAAUAUUCCUUAUAUUCCUCCUUGAUUAACUCUUUAGAAGGCAUAGAAGACUUUAAAAUUCAAAGAGUGUUUAUAAUAAGAUUUGCAAUCAUUAUUUUAAUUCUAAAUUCAUAUAUUUCACCAUAAUUGUUCUAAAUUAUUUGAGUUCACCAUCAAUGGAUCAUAGAUCAUAAUGAAUUUGUCUCUUCUGUUUCAAACAGCUGUAUGAAUAUGAAAUCCAAAUAUCACAAAUCUAACAUUUCAAUACAUCAUAACUAAUCAAUAAUUUAGAUUCAACUCUUAAACUAAUGACCCAUUAAUUAUCCUUCAGAAUUUGGGGAUUGCCACUCAAUUAUCAAUUGAAAUCUGACAAACUUUACAACAUCAACCACCAAAUUCCAAUUUCUUAAAUCAUUAUUAGAUUCUCAUUUUCAUUAACCAAAACAUAAGUAAUGUCACAUGGUUUAUGCUAUUGCUAAGCUAAUCAUCCACCUUUCUUCCACUAAUCUUGAGUGUUAAUCACAUUACUUCCAAACAGUAUCCACACUAUAAGGGACCCUAUUCUCUCUCUCUAACUUUCUCUCUCAUAGUCAUCAUAUAAUUCACCAUUUAACAACUAGUGCUUCUGCCACCACUACUGCUACUACUCCAUGUUCUCUCAUUGCAACCAUCACUUUUUUUUUUGUUAUAUACUAACAACCUAGUUCAAUCUUACCACAUGACAGAUCAAACAUGUUUCUCACCCUUCACUUUUUCUUUAUAAAGAUUCAAUUUUUAUUUUUUAUUCACAAAAUUUUGGAAAUUUGAACAUUUUUCUAUAUACCCUUUUGUCUUUAUUUAUAUAACCUUGCUCUAGUUUGUCUAUACAUUACAAAGUUUGAAACUUUAGCAAUGUCUUCUUCUUCUUCUCGUUAUCCUAUUAUGAACAGUGCCUUGUUUUCUCUGUUUCUUUUUGUGCUUAUUGCAAAAGUUAGCUUUGGCUUUUCAACCAAGGUAAAUUCAAAAGUAGUGUCUUUUUUUGUUAUGGUUAUUUCUGGGUUUUUGAAUCUUGAAUGAAUUUGAUUUUCAGGUUUAUGUUGUUUAUAUGGGAAGCAAAAGUGGUGAACACCCUGAUGAUAUUUUGAAGGAAAAUCAUCAAAUACUUGCUUCUGUUCAUAGUGGAAGGUUAAUACAAAUUUUGCUUUGUUUAAGAUAAAGUGUGUUUUUUUUGUUCUUAAUUUUGAUAUUUUGAAUGUUUUUGACAGCAUUGAACUAGCACAAGCUUCUCAUGUUUAUAGCUAUAGACAUGGUUUUAGAGGCUUUGCAGCUAAGCUCAGUGAUGAACAAGCUUCCCAAAUUUCUAGUAAGUUUUGUUGUUUCUCUUUUCACUUUCUCAGCUUUUUAAUGUUGAAAUUGAUACAGAAAGAGUUUAAUGGCUUCUGUAAUUUCAAAAACUGAGCAGAAAUGGCAGGAGUGGUUUCUGUUUUUCCAAAUUCUAAAAGAAAGCUUCACACAACUCAUUCAUGGGAUUUCAUGGGACUUUUGGAUGACCAAACCAUGGAAACUCUUGGCUACUCUAUUAAAAACCAAGAAAAUAUCAUCAUUGGUUUCAUUGAUACUGGUGAGUAUCUUGUAUUUUUGUUGUUAUUUUAAGGUUUUUCUAAAGAAAUUAUGUUUUUUUUACUAUGGUUUAGCCUAUGUCUGGUAACACGGUGUGCCACCGCUGCCGAACGUUUAAGGCAUUUUUCAUCGUGAUUUUGAGAAGCUGGUAUGUGUAGUUUUUGUCCCACGGUGGUUCUGAGAAGCUAGUGGAGUGAAUACUAUUUGAAUAAUGUCUUAGUUUUUGUGAAAUCCUAUCAUUUAUGGUAAAGUUGAUAAGUUCUAUGUAACAAUUCCUUUAUGCUCAAGUUCAGUUAUUAUUCCAUAAUGGCAUUUAUUGCUCGGUUCACAAGAAUUUUCACUUCCACACUCAUUUAUUACUUUACUAGCAGAAAAACUGCUACUUUAAUUUUUCUGUUUUACAGUAGCAGGUUUAAGGAAAGUUGUAUGAUUAAUAGUAACAUCCAAAAUUGAAUUCUAUAGUUUUCUCAAUAUGGAGGCCCCUACUUCGAACCAUGUGAAAAAUAAUCCACUUGAAGAGGGGUGAAUUAGUACAAAUCUAUAUGAAACCGACAUUUCAAAUUGAAUGUAUGUUUGGUGUUCGGUAUGUGUUAGUGUCUGACACCGACACGCGCAGUUUCAUUCAAUCACUUUUAUUUUCUUCAAUUAUUAUCAGUGUCUACGUGUCAUUGUCAGUGUUAAUAAACACGAAUCUAUUUCAAUGAGUUAUGUUAAUAAUUAUGUAUUACGUACAGGAAUUUGGCCAGAAUCUCCGAGUUUCGGUGACACCGACAUGCCUGCAGUGCCACCAGGGUGGAAAGGUCAAUGUCAAUCAGGAGAAGCAUUCAAUGCCUCAACUUGCAACAGGUUUGUUGUUAACUGUUACCCUCAUGUCCUUUCAAUUUAUUUAUUUGGCAUCAUAGCCACUAGUUUCCGUUUGAGUUUUAAAUAAAGGUCCCCGCAACUGCAAUUUGGGCCGUGGCAUGACAGUUUUUAUAUCACCAAAAGUGUAAUGCGACUGCGAUUGAGGCAACACAGACACUUCUGUUACUGCAACCGUUAUUUGAAACCUUUGUUUCCAUUUGUUUCUUGUUCAUUCGUUGAUAUGAUUUAUGGAAUAGGAAAGUGAUAGGUGCAAGAUACUAUAUAAGUGGAUACGAAGCUGAGGAAGAGUCAAACAAAAAAGUCUCGUUCAAAUCGGCUAGGGACAGCACUGGUCAUGGUAGCCAUACAGCUUCUAUAGCGGCAGGGAGAUACGUAGAAAACAUGAACUAUAAAGGACUAGCAAGUGGAGGUGCGAGAGGAGGUGCACCGAUGGCUAGGAUUGCUGUAUACAAAACAUGUUGGGAUUCGGGUUGCUAUGACGUGGACUUGUUAGCUGCAUUUGAUGAUGCUAUAAGAGACGGAGUUCACAUUUUGUCGCUAUCUCUUGGUGCUCAAUCGCCACAAGGAGAUUAUUUCAGUGAUGCUAUAUCUAUAGGGUCGUUUCAUGCUGCUAACCGCGGAGUGCUUGUUGUUUCAUCUGCUGGAAAUGAAGGAAUUCCGGGUUCUGCUACUAAUCUUGCACCAUGGAUGCUUACAGUUGCUGCUAGCUCAACUGAUAGGGAUUUCACUUCUGAUAUCAUGUUAGGAAAUGGCGCAAAAGUCACGGUAAAACAAAGCUUUUGUCAUAAUUUGUUUAGUCUCCAAAGUUUUGCUGAUACUCGAUUUCAAGAUAACUUGUUGCACAUUAUGAGAGGAAUCUUACGAUUUUGCUGUUACUGGAUCAGGGUGAAAGUCUGAGUCUGUUUGAAAUGAAUGCAUCUUCGAGGAUAAUUUCGGCUUCUCAAGCAUUUGCGGGAUACUUCACUCCGUAUCAAUCCAGGUGAAGCAAGGUACUUAAAAGUGAGAACUAACAAAAAAAUCUGCGCGAAAAAACGGCUUUUAAGUUCUAUUUUGUUUGGUUUUGUAGUUACUGUUUAGAGAGUUCUUUGAAUAAAACAAAGACCAAAGGGAAGGUUCUAGUUUGUAGACAUGUAGAGAGUUCAACUGAUUCAAAGGUGAAAAAGAGCAAGGUGGUUAAAGAAGCUGGUGGAGUUGGAAUGAUACUUAUUGAUGAGACAGAUCAAGAUGUUGCUAUCCCAUUUGUGAUCCCUUCAGCUAUUGUUGGAAAGAAAAUCGGAGAAAAGAUUCUAUCUUAUCUCAAAACUACAAGGUUCGUUUUAUAAUCUACAAAGCACUGUACUUUUAGAAACAUGGAUCCUCUAAAACUGCAAUAUGGUGAUGUAGGGACCGUUAAAUUUAGAAAUAUUCAAAAAAACGGUCCCUAAAACUCUGGAUCACCAUAUUGCAUCGGUAGAGGAUCCAAUUUCUACUUAUAUUGCUAUUUUCGGAAGUUUAACUUCACAUUCUGUUAUAUGUCGAACAGUAAGCCUAUGUCAAGGAUAUUAAGAGCAAAGACGGUAAUAGGAGCUCAACCAGCACCGCGCGUAGCAGCAUUUUCUUCUAGAGGUCCUAAUGCUCUAAACCCUGAAAUUUUGAAGGUGAAUUCCUCAUUUUUAAUCCAACUACCAAAAUCUAUCUGAGCUUUCUUUACAACAUUUAUCUUUCUUUUUUUUUACUUCUUUGUCGAACUUCUAACUGGAAUAGUCCAUGAAAUGUCUGAGGUAAAAGUUUGACUUUGUAAAAUGAUCUCUAACUGUAAUGCGGUGAUUUCUACGUAGCCUGAUAUCACAGCCCCGGGAAUAAACAUUCUUGCAGCAUGGUCUCCAGCGGAUGGAAACAUGUUCAACAUUCUCUCGGGAACUUCCAUGGCUUGUCCUCAUGUAACCGGAAUCGCAACCUUAGUCAAAGCUGUUCAUCCUUCGUGGUCUCCAUCUGCCAUCAAAUCCGCCAUCAUGACAACUGGUAUUACACACUUUAACGCGGUCGCUGCAUAUAUAAUAUUAUAACCUCGAGUGCACGACUAAUCAUGACUUUUUUUAUCAUGCAGCAACAAUCCUAGAUAAACGCCACAAACCGAUCAGCGUAGAUCCAGAACAAACAAGGGCUAAUGCAUUCGAUUACGGAUCAGGGUUUUUAAACCCUGCAAGAGUUCUUAACCCCGGUCUCAUCUAUGAUUCUGAACCAACAGAUUUUAUCGCAUUCCUAUGUUCACUCGGUUACGAUCAAAGAUCACUUCAUUUAGUUACUAGAGACAGCAGCACAUGUAAUAGCAUAAACAAAUUCACCACUGCAUCAAACCUCAACUACCCAUCCAUUUCAGUUCCUAAUCUCAAAAACAGCUUUUCAGUUACAAGGAUUGUGACAAAUGUUGGAAAAGCAACAAGUAUAUAUAAGUCUAUAGUUUCGUCACCUCCUGGUGUUAAUGUCACGGUUACGCCGAGCCGGUUAGUUUUCACAAGAAUGGGACAGAAAAUCAAGUUCAGUGUGAAUUUCAAAGUAACUUCUCCUUCAAAAGGAUACAAAUUUGGAUUCUUGUCAUGGAAAAAUAAAAGAUUACAAGUUACUAGUCCUUUGGUUGUAAAGGUUGGGUAGAGAGCUAUGCUUGUAAAUAUCAGUAUAUUAGCUUGAAAAGCUUUGAAUUAUUACUGCUAAAAUUGUGUUAGGUAUAUGUUUGGAUAAGAAACAGUUACUUAUAAUAGAAUCCAAAGAAAAUAUGUAUUUAGGUGAAAUUACUUUGAAGUUCAUUAUUAUUUAUCAAUUUUGCAAUAUGCAUUAUUUUGAUAUGAAAAACACUUGAAUUAAUCCCAUUUUUGUUUCUGUUAU